GAUGAACGCUAGCGGCAGGCCUAAUACAUGCGAGUCGGACGGGAUCCAUUGAUAGCUUGCUAUCAAUGGUGAGACUGGCGCACGGGUGCGUAACGCGUGAGCAACCUGCCUCCAUCAGGGGGAUAGCCUCUCGAAAGAGAGAUUAACACCGCAUAAUAUCAACAGUUCGCAUGUUCAGUUGAUUAACUAUUUAUAGGAUGGAGAUGGGCUCGCGUGACAUUGGCUAGUUGGUAGGGUAACGGCUUACCAAGGCGACGAUGUCUAGGGGCUCUGAGAGGAGGAUCCCUCACACGGUGACUGGGACACGGACCAGAGUCCUACGGGAGGCAGCAGUAAGGAAUAUUGGUCAAUGGGCGGAAGCCUGAACCAGCCAUGCCGCGUGCAGGAUGACUGCCCUAGGGGUUGUAACCUGCUUUUGUCCAGGAAUAAACCUAAAUACGAGUAUUUAGCUGAAUGUACUGGAAGAAUAAGGAUCGGCUAACUCCGUG
rnacentral:rRNA from 1 species